AGUGGGGGAUAACGUAGCGAAAGUUACGCUAAUACCGCAUAUUCUGUGAGCAGGAAAGCGGGGGAUCGCAAGACCUCGCGCUUCCGGAGCGGCCGAUGUCGGAUUAGCUAGUUGGCGGGGUAAAGGCCCACCAAGGCAACGAUCCGUAGCGGGUCUGAGAGGAUGAUCCGCCACACUGGGACUGAGACACGGCCCAGACUCCUACGGGAGGCAGCAGUGGGGAAUUUUGGACAAUGGGGGCAACCCUGAUCCAGCCAUGCCGCGUGAGUGAAGAAGGCCUUCGGGUUGUAAAGCUCUUUCGGCUGGGAAGAAAUCGCAUCUCCUAAUACGGGGUGUGGAUGACGGUACCAGCAUAAGAAGCACCGGCUAACUACGUGCCAGCAGCCGCGGUAAUACGUAGGGUGCGAGCGUUAAUCGGAAUUCCUGGGCGUAAAGCGUGCGCAGGCGGUUUCGUAAGACAGAGGUGAAAUCCCCGGGCUCAACCUGGGAACUGCCUUUGUGACUGCGAGGCUAGAGUAUGGCAGAGGGGGGUGGAAUUCCA
rnacentral:rRNA from 1 species